rnacentral:rRNA from 1 species
GAUGAACGCUGGCGGCGUGCUUAACACAUGCAAGUCGAACGGAAAGGCCUCUUUCGGGGGGUACUCGAGUGGCGAACGGGUGAGUAACACGUGAGUAACCUGCCCUUAACUUUGGGAUAACUUCAGGAAACUGCGGCUAUUACCGAUUAGGAGCUCCUGCUGCAGGGUGGGGGUUUGAGAGUUUCGGCGGUUGGGGAUGGCCUCGCGGCGUAUCCGCUUUGUGGUGGGGUAGUGGCUUACCAACGCUUUGCCGGGUAGCCGGCCUGAGAGGGUGACAGGCGACACUGGGACUGAGAGAAGGCCGCGGUGCGGACGGGAGGAAGCAGGGGGGAAGACUGAACAAGGGGUGGAGGGCGGGUGCAGCAAGGCUGUGGGCGGGAUGACGGCCUUCGGGUUGGAAAACGCUUGCGCUCAUGACGAAGCUUUGUGUGACGGUAGUGGGUAAAGAAGCACCGGCUAACUACGUG